GCAAAACUUGGUCAUUUAGAGGAAGUAAAAGUCGUAACAAGGUUUCCGUAGGUGAACCUGCGGAAGGAUCAUUACAAAAAAGGCCUUUAACCUUUUUUAAUUCACCACUCUGUGCACUUUAAUUGGCGUCUCAAUUUAAAGAUUGGGAUCGUCAAUCACUUUUUUUUCAAAGCCUUAAUUUUUUGUCUGACGUUAUUUGAAAAUAAUAACAAGAAAUACAACUUUCAACAACGGAUCUCUUGGCUCUCGCAUCGAUGAAGAACGCAGC
rnacentral:misc_RNA from 1 species